UAUUGCUAUUGAAAGAUCCCCGAAGGGAGACCCUUACUCAAGUCUCGGGAAAUUGCGGACCCCAGACACAGAGAGACCA
rnacentral:pre_miRNA from 14 species